CUUUUCCAGCUGCCCUGUAUAUUUCUUGUGAUGAGGGGAUAAGGACCUUGUAAUGUCAGUAGAACAGAAUAGCUCAUACCUUACAUCUGAAAUUCAUUGCAGUACCCCUAUUUGGGCUCAAAACACCUGUCAGCACGGUGACCGGCAGGCUGUAGGAUGAAGUUCAAGAGCCUGAGCAGCAGGGUUACAGUGAUCGGAGCCUCCAAAAUAACUAUUACAGCAGCAAACUCAGACGGAUCUUCAUAUCUCAUCCUCUUCUGGAGCUGGCACACAUGAGAGGUGGCAAUAGGGUGCAGGCUUUCUUCAGCCAAAGAGCAGGCAAGGCUCUUGGGAGCCAAGUUUCCCAGUUCUUCCAUUAAAAGGCAACUCACACCUGCCAGUGGAUGAAAAUGAAGAAGGAAGAACUUAUUCCUUAGGAUCCCUGCCUAAAGUUAUUCAUGCAGAGAGAUAAAUUUUAAUCAAUAGCUUUCAACACGUAACACUGAGAGCAAGCACGCCUUUCACAUAAUCAACAUGCACAGCUUAUGGGAAGGCCAUUCAGACAAUAUAUCUCUUUGAUUUAAUGGCAGAUGUGAAUACGCUAAGUCUGGUGGGCUUGAACAAGUAUGCUGGAAUCUUUGCACAUGUGACUUAGGGUUGGUCUGUAUCUGCUUGCCUAAAGAGCAGUAGCUGAAGAUGCGGGAGCGUAGGCUGUCAGUCAGCAAAACAGUGGGUAUCUUUAACCCAGACAACCUCAGAAGUUCUAUUUAAAGCUGUGUACGUUGAAGCAACCUGAAAUCUUUAAUGGCCUUGAGAGAAGCACUCUGGGGGGCUUUGCUUUGUGCUUUUCAUUGCACUUCACUGAUAUGCUUACUUUGUGUAUAUUUUUUUCAGCAGUGAACAGAUGGCCCCCUGCUGCUCACCACAAAUGUGUUAUUAUUACUUCAACCAAAAUCUCCUUUAGAAGAAAGCAAGGCAAUGUUUGUUUUACUUCCAGAUAACCUUGAAAAAGGCAAAACCACAAUAAUACAGUUAAAACAAAACAGAACAAAACAAAAAAGAGGAACAAAGAGGAAUGUAGAAAAAAAAGUAGAAAAAUAAAGUAAAAUGAAGAAGAAAAAAAGGAAAGGGAAGGGAAUGGAAAAACAAAACAAAACAAAACAAAACAAAGAGAACAAAGAAAGAGAAAAAAAGAAAAGAGCAAAAAGACAGUGACCCAACAAGUUCAAAGCCUCUGAAUAUACACCUUCAGAUAUCUGCUUGAAAAACAUACUAAAAAUUACAAAACUGUGAUCGCUCGUUCUUCAUUUACUGCAAUGUCAAGCUGGUCAGCUUGAAUCAUUCAGAUUCAAGGUAAUUAUUUCUUAGUAGAUGCUAACACCCUGUCUGCCCUUAGUAUAAUGGUCAAAUUGGUAAAACAAGACUGAUCACCCACUCCCCUAAAUCCAAGGUAUUCUGGAUUGUGUCAGCUGAGAGUCCAUUUCCUUUGGGUUAUUGCUGUUCCUAAGACUUAAGGGUAAUAGAAACCUAUUCAAACAAUAGCAGUCUCAAUUAAAAGUGUGUGAUAUACACUAUUCAGACUCCAAGGUUAGAAAAACACGUUUUGAAAGCACAGCUCUAUUAUUAUUAUUUACUAUUAUAGAGUAUUAGCCAAGGCAAAUAUUAUUGUCCUCCAAAAAAUCUGAAAAUCCCAGUAGGGUGGCACACAGCUGACAUUCCUAGCUGUUUGCUGUCUUGUAUGGAACUCCAUGUGAUCCACAGCUAAAGGGCUGACACACUUGCUACUGAAGCACCGCGGUCACCUCAGAGAAAUACACGUCCUACCCAGAGUAUUUCAAAAUGCAAAGGCAAGAAGAAGAAGUGGGAGGAGGAAAACCACAGAGAUAGUAGCUGUAUGAGGAAGGGAAAUGAGGACUGAACCCAUAAAGCCUUCACUGUUUUCAUCACACACAUAUGUUCCUUCUUCUUCAGCCAGAGUCUGGUGGGCUGCCAGGAGCCAUGAAAUCUGUAAGCCUGGAAACUGAGUUUUUAAUGAAUCAACGUAUAGUCAGAAGAGCCCCAAACAUCUCAUCCAAGGAAUGAAGCAUCCUCAUCUUUUAAAAGCAUUGGUGAAGCAUUAAGAACAGUUCAACAAGUACUGACUCCACAUGGAAGGACUAACUUGCCCUCUUCUAUGCAAGGGACAGAGAAGUCUCCACAGCCUGGAGGAUGAGAUGCUUCAGACAGAGGAAAAAAGCAAAGGUUUUUCUCCAUUCCCAGCCAAGAAGCAACACCUCUCCUCUGCCAGUUCAUCUCUGAUUUCAUCUCAUUCCUGGCCACACUGGAUAAAAGACAGAGGAUUUUAUAAUUUUGGUUUCUAAACAUCCCCAGAAAUAAAUUCCAAGGAGCAGCUGACCCAUGAAUGCAAGAGAGUUGCAUUUAUUGAGAGCGCUGCCUCCACUUGUCAUCCUUCCACCCAGAGGUCGUAGUUGGCUGUAACGUGGGGUGCUCUGAGAAGUGGCUUCCAGCAAAAGUGGCACUGGGCCCACGAUUUUGCUUCUCACAUCUGUCUGGCCUCAGGGAACUCUAAUUAAACACCACUGAAAAGAAUGGGGUGAAGUAUACGGUGGAGUAGAGAUUGUGUAGACAUCAAAGUCUUUCUCUGUUUUCAUUGGAACUUCAAAAUACUGCUGAAAUAUUUGCUAAACCUAGCUGAUGUCUUCUUCCUAGAAGCUGCUGAGGGAGCAGGGACUGUACAGCAUGGAGACGAGGAGGCUCAGGGGAGACUUUACAACUACCUGAAAGGAGGUUGUGGCAAAGUGGGGGUCAGCCUCUUCUCCCAGGUAACAGCGAUAGGAUGAGAGGAAAUGGCCUUAAGUAGCACCAGGGGAGAUUCACGUACGAUAUUAGAGAAAAUUUCUUCUCAGAAAGAGUGAAGCAGUGGCAUAGGCUGCCCAAGGUGAUGGAGUUACCAUCCCUGCAGGUGCUCAAGAACCAUGUGGAUGUGGUACUGAGGGACAUGGUUAGUGGGCAUGGUGUGAUGGUCUGACAGUUGGACUUGAUGGUCCUAGCAGUCUUUUUAACCUUAAUGAUUCUAUGAUUUGCUGAUAGCCUGUCCUCUACUGUGCUAUCUGAGCUGCCUUCAGUGGCAUUUCCACUGAAACAGCACAGUUUUCCUUAGCUGCCGAUAGCAGGAACAGUCUUUGCAGCUGAGGAUCAGGUGAGGACAGGCCCUGCUCAGGCCCAAGCAUCAGCAUCACCCUUUUCAACACUACCUUAGAAAUGACAGCCCUACAUUGAGACUAUGGCCCCUCUGGGUUUUGCCACUGUGUCCAAUUAAAUACUUUAUGUUAUUCUUCAUUUAUAAGGGGUAAGAGAGGAAAAUGACACACAUGAUUAGUAUAGAUGUCUCAUUGUCAGAAAACAAUUAAAGGCUAGAAACCAGCACUGGUCUUCUUGCAGUUGGGAAUUACAGUUGUUGGCAGCUGUCAGGUUAGGUUAGGAAAGGAUAGGUUAGGAAGUCUUUAAACCAGGAGUAUUGAUGCUGUCUCUGUUCUGGGAAUUUCCCAAAACCCAGAGGAAUUGUGCGUGGGUGAGAACUGACCUGGUAUUCAAGCUGCCAUUUCUUCCAUUACAGUGAAGGCUCUAGGUGAAGGGAUGCUCUCCUGAUGCUCAGAGAGCAUGGAAGGUUUCGAGGGGUGAAGGCAGGUGAGGUGCUCCCCAUAGAGGAUACAGGCUGAGCUGACACACAGGAGCACAGUAGGUAGGUGCGAUUAAAGAAUUUGGUGAAGCUGUCAAAAGAUGUUGUUCUCAGGCAAACAGAAACACACAUGCACUCACCUUAGCUGGAUUCAGCCUGAUGUCAUAAAGUGGAAGCAAAAUUAUCAUAAAAAUAAGCAUAAGGGCCCUGAAAAAAGCAAGAGGACUCACAGAACUCCUGCAAAAUAUCACUGAAGGGCAUUUGAAGUGUCAUUUUGCAGAAUGUACAGCUGGAAGAGUAGCGUGGUUAGGAUAGAAUUUUAAGGGUGUUAUAGUUGGAAACGUUAUUGUGGUAAAAAAGAAACAAGCAAGGAAGAAACACUCUCCUGUACCUGAGGAUCCAGGCUCACAAUGGAAAACUCCAAAAGGGAGGGAUCUCCAGAAAAAGAUCCUUCCCUAGUGGCAGUCAGCCCUUAAAUGGGGUGUAGGAGAGGUGCGGCCAGGCUCCACCCCUUCUGGUCACACGGCUGAAUUGCCUUCACCUGUGCUCCCAUGGCUGACCCAGUCCUUGCUUCAGGUGAUCAAUCAGUGGUUCAGGCCGUGACUCAACAGUUCCCAUACACAAGAGUAGUGAAGUAUUUUUCAGUUUCAAAAAGAGCAAAGGAGCAGGAACACAAACGUUGACUUUCCAAAUAUUGUGAGUAACAUCAAAGGGCAGUCAAUAACAGUAUUAGAAGGGACCAAAUGCAAACUUGUCAGAAGCAAGAGUCCCAUUUGUUGAGUGAAGAGGUCUCUACCUAAAUUGUGUGGAGGGUCCUAGAUCACACUGGACAAGUAUGAGCUAGUCUUUCAUUUCCAGAAGAAGCCACUGCUUGACAGCCCACGGAUGUCUGGGGCUCUUGCAUGAAGGUUAAAUAACAGAGACCAUAGAAUCAUGCAAUGGUUUAGGUUGGAAGGGACCUCAAAGCCUACCCAUUCCAACCCCAUGCCAUGGGCAGAGCUGCCCCCCAGCAGCUCAGCUGCCCAGGGCCCCAUCCAACCUGGCCUUGAACGCCUCCAGGGAUGGGGCACUACAACUUCUCUGGGCAGCUGUGCCAGUGCCUCACCAAUCUCUGAUACAGAAUUUCUUCCUAACAUCUAACCUAAACUUCCCCUCUUUUAGUUUAAAGCCACUUCCCCUCAUCCUAUCACUGUAAGUUCAUGGGAAAAGUUGGUUUCCCUCCUGCUUUCUUUACAAAUUGCUAAGUGCAGAUUUACUCUUGCUCUGUGUUGGAGUCAAGACAGCCAACACAGUUACACCCAACUUGUCCAAAAGGGCAGGGACUGUGUUUAUACUGGUUUCCUGCCAUCCAUCUGGGUUUCCAUGCCUGGUAAGCCAGUCUCUUUGUACCCAAAGCAGGCCAACAUGAGCAGAACCGAUGUCCAGGAAUCUCAGAGUGGUGCUAAAAUCAUAGCUAACAGAACAGAUACAGGCAGAAAAAAUUAUUCACACUGAGAGACAGAAAAUCCACAGCUGCCAGCAGGAUUUGGAAGAGAGUUUUCUGUGAAAAAAAAGCUCUCUCUUUUGAGUGACCAGAUAGGCAAGGAAAAAGUGACAUGAGACUACCUCCCACAGUUGUCAAUAGUCACACAACCUUUAAAAAGCCAUGACUAAGAGAAAUGAAAAGCACUGAGAGCUACUGCACAGUACUAAAGCCAUCCCAGUUCAGUUAUGAAAAUGUAUCCAAAGUCUAUUUGACUAAAACUCAAACACUGUGAUCCUUGUUUACUGUGUAGAACAAACACCCCAUAUGGCAGGCGGAAAUGAUCCACGGACGCAAGUCUUUACAAGCGUCCUCGUUAUGGUGAGGUCAGAGCGUGCUGUGUAUGUCUGUCAUUUUCUUAGGGCUUUUUCUUCUCCUCCUCCUGCUUUUUGUCAAUGGCCUUGACUUCCUGUCUGCUUUCUAUUUACAGUUGUAACAGGGAGGGAUAAAACCAGACACCAUUGUAUUGGACUGGGACAGAAACAGGGGUUGAAAUGUGAAUGAAAAUUAAAUUGAUGAAUAGUUCUUGCUAGUAUCCUGGUUCACAAGAAAAGAGGACAUAUAUAGGUUCAUCAAAUUCAUAGUUUUGAAGCAAAAACCUUUGCCACAUACUGUGAAGUCCAGCAUAUAAAUACUGGGCAUAUGAUACAGGGGACACGUUGGGAAUAUUUUCCUCUCAUCAAAGAUAAUGUGUUUUUCUUCAGUUUUGCCCACUCUGUCCCAUCACCUUUGUGGUAAACCAAGCAAGAUUCCUAUUUUGUAAUUCUUUCUCAGAAAUCUUUUGUCUGCAACCCUGCUCAGAAUCUUCCAGCAUUGAAAUAUUCCCCAUUGAACUAACAGCUUCAUCCUUCCCACUAAUGCCUUGGUCAACAGCUGGUUUCCUCUCAGUUGUGGAACUACACCACUGAUGAGAGCCUGGACCAUUCAGGAAGAUUCAUCACAACAGCAGGGACUGGAGAGGAUAGGUGUGAAUAAACGACUGAGAUUUUUCUAUCCAGACCCAGUUCUACUAUUUAGACUUCAAGAGAAAAAACAAUAUUAAAAUAGCAAUUUGGCAUAUGUGCUUCAUUGCUUAUCAGGUUGUUUGUUCAAGAAAGAAAGUGCUGCAGGAGGUCAUUUCACCAGGAGAAGGCUCAGAAAACCUGGAAGUCUUUGAUGAAAAUCAAUGGUCAGAUUGAGUGUCUGUGGCAAUGAAUGAGAACAUAUUAAAAUGGCAUGGGAAGCUUAAUCUGUGAUUGAUCUCCCAACAAUUACCCUGCUUUCGGAACCUCUCCAUAUCAUUUAAUGAGGUGAUUUCAAUGUUCUAAUAAAAUGUGGCAGGGGAAUGUUUCCAGAUGUCCAGUGCGUAAGGACAUAAACGCUUUUCUGCAACCAUAGUCUGCAUAUUAAACCAACAGACAUAAUCUUCUGAUUGAAUUACUCUUCUGUCCCAGUUACAGAGAAAGGAGCACUGAAAAGUCAUGAGAUUCUGAAAAAUUCUUUUGAAGUCUAUCAGUGUUAUACAAAACGAAAUCCGCCUUCUCUGCUAAUUUAUUUGCAUAAAACUCCAUAAUUUCACAAGUACUGAAAUAUCUCCUCUUACAACAUUUCUCUAAAAUUUGUCACUUACUCUUCCAUUAGAAAUAAAAAUGUUGUUACUCAUGCCCCAUGAUUUAGUCCUUUAUAUCUUAUCACUGCGGAAGAGAGACCUACUGGUGUAAGACCAGCCUUUAAGCUACACUUGGAGAACAGAGGAAGAAAUCAUGAUGUGAUAAAAACGUUGAGGACACUGGGAACGACACUGGGUCAGACCACUUGCCCAAGAUGCCUUGCAGCCAGCACUAGGUGGUCACCAGUGUUCCCAGACAGAUGUGCAGCACUUCAGUGUGAACACUGAUUUUAUUAUUUUUCAUUCACAAGGGUCUUCUGAAACCACUGGUCUGAUUUCCCUACUUCAAAGAACUCAUAUCAGAGAGUUCACAUGACAUAUCACCAGACCCAUAGCUGCUGUUGCCCAUAUUCAGUAUGUAUAUAUCAAGCAGCCAAUUAACCAUGUUGGAGGAUACCUGUGAGCAGCCCUGGCCUCUCUCAGACCCUUGUUAGGUAAUCAUGUGUUCUGGUGCAUGGGCCCAGCAUUUUCCCCAAGUUUGCCAGACCUGUCCCUUCAAACUGUUCCUCGGUCAAACACUUACGGCCAUCUUCAUGCUUCACAAAGUAUUUUGAUGACAAAUAUCUCAGAGGGAUUUUGGAGUGCUUACAUACCUGUCUUGUACAAAGCAACCUGACACCUUAAAAGUCAGGAGCGAAAUUACUCCCCUCAUUAUCUCGCCCUUCAUUACCUGCUAUGUGGGACAGUGACACAUAACUGCUAUAGUAGAGAACCCAUGUCUCUAUUUUCUGUCCACUUGAGACUGGACGGUUUGUCUCUGUCUGCAUUCACCCAUCAAGAGCAAAUAAAAACUCAACUAAUCUCUGACAGCUGAGGUCACAGCCAGUCUUGAUGUCAGGGAGCGUAAACACAGUUCUCUUAGCUGGGAAAAAAAGGGAGAAAGGGUGGCUCACUUAACCCUCUCUGCUCUGUAAACAGUCUUGUUAGUUUUCAGCUAUCACAAAAGCAUAUUCCACAUCACAUAUGGCAAAUAUUAACCAGAUAUUGAUUGCAGUUCUAUUCACACAACAGUCAGUAAUGCUUUCAGUCCUCC
ensembl:lncRNA